rnacentral:rRNA from 1 species
UACGGUAGGGUGCGAGCGUUAAUCGGAAUUACUGGGCGUAAAGCGUGCGCAGGCGGUUUUGUAAGACAGAUGUGAAAUCCCCGGGCUUAACCUGGGAACUGCAUUGGUGACUGGCGGCUAGAGUAUGGCAGAGGGGGUAGAAUUCCACGUGUAGCAGUGAAAUGCGUAGAGAUGUGGAGGAAUACCGAUGGCGAAGGCAGCCCCCUGGGCCAAUACUGACGCUCAUGCACGAAAGCGUGGGAGCAAACAGG